AUGCAGCACAUUGACAAGAAACUUGCAUCUGAACUAGCAAAUGUAGACCUCAGCCAUGUUCGAACUUUGAUAGUAAUGCCAUCAUGUUGUGUCACACACUUGCCCAGUCUGGAUCGGUUUGAAGCUUUACGUGUUCUGGAUUUUGAAGAGUGUCGGGAUUUAAAGGACUAUGAUAUGGAAGGCAUGGACAAAUUAUUCCAGCUAAAGUACCUCAGCUUUAGGGGCACAGGUAUAUCAAAGCUACCAUCAGGGAUCAUGAUGCUAGGUAAUCUAGAGAUGCUGGAUCUUGGGAAUACAUCUGUGAGAGAAUUGCCUGCUGGAAUUACUCGGCUGACUGCACUACGACACCUAAUUGGAUUUCCGAACAAGCAGCUACAAAAUGGGAUUGGGGGCAUGAGGAACUUACAGUUGAUGCCCAAAUUUAUUAUUACCUCGCAAGAAACAGAUGUGUUGGAUGAUCUCGGGAACCUGGCAAGUUUGGAGGAACUCCAUGUGGAUCUCUGUGAUGAAGUAUCUUACGAGGACAAGGGAUUUGAAAAAGAGGCAUUUCUCUCCUCACUGUGCAAGCUUGGCACCUGCAAACUCCGUUCCUUGGAUACAUCAGCGUACAUUUGUUCCCUCGACUUCUUAGAUUCUUGGUCCCCUCCGCCAUCUUCUCUUCAAAGCUUUUUGGGGCCCAUGGUCAGUUCGUUCACAAAACUUCCAAAGUGGAUUACACCUGCACUCAUUAACCUUGCCAACCUGAACAUCUGCUUAAGUGAACUGACGGAAGAUGAGCUGCUUACGCUUGGGCAGCUCCCAUCCUUACUCCGCCUGGAACUACGGCCAUCAAAUAAGUUUGUUGGUACAGUCCAAGCCACUUCUUUCCCAAAUCUGAAGUUCUCCUAUGUGCUCCUCUGCUCUGUUCUUAUGCCGAGAAGAGGACGCACCUUGUGGCCGCUUUUAGGUGUUUCAUUCAGGACUGGUGGUACUAUUGCAUUGAUUUUUGCAUGGAAAAAUAACAUUGGAGCUGUGAGAUAUGAGGUUGGAGGAGGAAUCCAGCUCGACAUUCUCGGACACUUUAUCCAGUUUAUGUUCCACAAUACAACGAGAUCAAAGCUGGGCUGGGCCGCCUACCAAGUCUCAGCCGCACAGCUCCGACACAAAGAACAGCUUCCCCUGGGCUGGGCGACGUCGAACGUGAACCGGUACUCUGCUCUGCUCUUGGUAACUUCGAUCUUUCAGGGCAAGGGCAUGGCGCGCGUGUCCACACACACAGAGACCGAGCGAGGUCUUGUGCUGCUGACGCUCUCAACUUCUCAUACAAGCGAGAAAGCGGGGAAGGAGUGUGGAUUGCCCGUGAUCAUGCCCGGGGAUAACAUCGCAAAGUUCUACGCGAGGCCCUGCCCACACGGGACGUGUAUACCUGCUGCAGAUCCCCUGUGA
rnacentral:rRNA from 1 species